rnacentral:rRNA from 1 species
UACUCCUACGGGAGGCAGCAGUCGGGAAUAUUGGGCAAUGGGCGAAAGCCUGACCCAGCCAUGCCGCGUGCGGGAAGAAGGCCUGCGGGUCGUAAACCGCUUUCAGCGGGGACGAUGCGUCUCCGGGUGAACAGCUCGGGGACGUGACGUUACCCGCAGAAGAAGCGCCGGCUAACUCCGUGCCAGCAGCCGCGGUAAUACGGAGGGCGCGAGCGUUACUCGGAGUCACUGGGCGUAAAGCGUCCGUAGGCGGUCGGGUAAGUCGGGUGUGAAAGCCCCGGGCUUAACCUGGGAAGUGCACCCGAUACUGCUCGACUCGAGUGCGGGAGAGGAUGGCGGAAUUCCCGGGGUAGCGGUGAAAUGCGUAGAUCUCGGGAGGAACACCAGUGGCGAAGGCGGCCAUCUGGCCCGUAACUGACGCUGAGGGACGAAAGCGUGGGGAGCAAACAGGAUUAGAUACCCUGGUAGUCCACGCCCUAAACGAUGCCGACUAGCUGUUGGGCCCGAUUGGGGUUCAGUGGCGAAGCUCACGCGUUAAGUCGGCCGCCUGGGGAGUACAGCCGCAAGGCUGAAACUCAAAGGAAUUGACGGA